CUUUCUCAUGGAGAUCUCUCAGAGGUGUUGCGUUCCCUCAAGCGCGGAGCUGAUGCUUUUCAGCUCCCGGCCCCUGCUCGCGGUAGAUGGCACUCUGGUAACACGCCUGCGAUAAUUAUUUUUUUUACUUUUGUUUCCCGAAGUCGUUUUACUCACUGUCUGUCUUAGGGCUUACCUGGGACAAGAGCACAUCCACUCGGUGCUGGGACGAGUCCAGAGGGGUUUGCAGCUUGUCCUUGAAGACUGAGAAAACUUUUAGCACAGAGCAGUUGAGGAAAAGCUUCUUUAAAUUUCCUGCCUUGUUGAGUGCUGUGGCUGUAUCCCAGGUUGGCAUUUUUGUGGCUGAAUACCACUGGGAGUUAAGGACUUGCUGUGACUCUCACUCUUACUCUGAGGAGUUUUGCCUGCAGCAGUCACAUAGUUGAAAAAUACAGAUCCAUGUGACUGCUAAGAGACCACUGAGAAGCCAAGAAUACCUCAAGCACUUCUAUGCCUCCUGGAUAUGGUUGACAGCAUUGCACAAGUGUGACUGAGAUCCCGAGGAGCAAGUGAAAUGACUUGGAUGCAGAAGUUUACCAACACCAGGACUGGGAGAAUUUUGCUGGGGCAACAAAUGGAACAAAACUUUGGUGAAUUUGGAUGGAGAAUGCUUUGGCAUCUAUUACAGGCUGCCAGCAGCGCUGCCUCCUCCUUGGCUCCGUACUUCACACUGACUUGUAAAUGAUCUGCUUGGGCUCUGGUGGCCCUGAACUAAGCAAGUGUCUGGGAGCACCGUUCAGCUGCUGCUUGGAACAAAAGAGAGAGAACCUGGAGGGAAUCCUGCUUGCACUGUGAAGCACCCUGAGUGCAGCCUGCCCCUUCAGGAACACACUGCACAAAUGAUGAGGGACAAGGUAAGGAACCAGAUCCUUUCCCUUCUUAGCUGGCAAAGAAAACCUUUUUCUUUGGUCAGCACUGGCAGAAGCCCCGUUUUAAACACCUUCCAAGAGUGAUUGUGAAACCUCUAGAGACCACAGUAUCUGUCACUGGGUUGUUUUUCUUAUGAGUCUGGGAAACUCCUUGAGACAUCUCCAUGCCUGGAAAACUUCAAAGUAUUCCUCAGAGAGCAUAAUGAGGCUUUAACUGUGAGGCAUUGCACUUUCACAUGGGGAGGAGGCUGUUUCCAUUCUUGCCAGAGGAUUUGGUAGUCCCUGCAUCUCGUUGGGACUGUCACCCAUUUCACUUUGAGAAUGAAAAGCCUUCUUUCAGCAUGGUCUCUGUAA